AGCGAACGCUGGCGGCAGGCCUAACACAUGCAAGUCGAACGUAGUCUUCGGACUUAGGGGCGGACGGGUGAGUAACACGUGGGAACGUGCCUUUAGGUUAGGAAUGACUCAGGGAAACUGGUGCUAAUACGGAGUGUGCACUUCGGGAGAAAGAUUUAUCGCCUUUAGAGCGGCACGCGUCUGAUUAGCUCGUUGGUGAGGUAAAGGCUCACCAAGGCGACGAUCAGUGGCUGGUCUGAGAGGAUGAUCAGCCACAUUGGGACAGAGACACGGACCAAACUCAUACGGGAGGCAGCACUGGGGAAUCUUGCGCGAUGCGCGAAAGCCUGACGCGGCCAUGCCGCGUGAAUGAUGAAGGUCUUAGGAGUGAAAAAUUCUUUCACCGGGGACGAUAAUGACGGUACCCGGAGAAGAAGCACCGGCUAACUUCGUGCCAGCAGCCGCAGUAA
rnacentral:rRNA from 1 species